GGCGAACGCUGGCGGCGUGCUUAACACAUGCAAGUCGAACGGAAAGGCCUGCUUUCCCUUGUGGAUUGCGGGUACUCGAGUGGCGAACGGGUGAGUAACACGUGAGUGAUCUGCCCCCAACUUGGGUAUAAGCCUGGGAAACUGGGUCUAAUUCCCGAUAGGACUGCAGGGUGGUGCCUGUGGUGGAAAACGAUUUUCUAGUGGUUGGGGAUGAGCUCGCGGCCUAUCAGCUUGUUGGUGGGGUAAUGGCCUACCAAGGCGGCGACGGGUAGCCGGCCUGAGAGGGUGGACGGCCACAUUGGGACUGAGAUACGGCCCAGACUCCUACGGGAGGCAGCAGUGGGGAAUAUUGCACAAUGGGCGGAAGCCUGAUGCAGCGACGCCGCGUGGGGGAUGACGGCCUUCGGGUUGUAAACUCCUUUCGACCGCGAGGAAGCCACCUGGUUGGAAGGGUGGUGACGGUAGUGGGAGAAGAAGCACCGGCUAACUACGUG
rnacentral:rRNA from 1 species